GCUUCCCACGUCUCAAUUAAAGGCCCCUCCUCUUCUGCACAGGUGUGCUGCAAGACUAAAGGCACUGGGGCCUCUGAAAUGCUCAGGCAUUUCACGCUGAGAGGGGUUGUUGCACAUUGAUCAUCAGUAAUUAGCACCCAGUGGAGACAGGUGGCAAAUACCUCUUCUCCAUAGAGCUAAGCUGCCUUGUAGGCUGAGCAGCUUCCCAGAGCCCCUGGGCUCUCAGCAGCAGGAAGGCACAGUGGUCUCUGUUGACUUGUUUUUAACAUGGUUUUGUUCUGGGCUGGUUUAGGUUUAAAUACCCCCUUUACUAGCCUUACCCCAAAGUCCACAUACAACUUAGGCAAAUCUGCUCCAUUUCACAGUCUCCAUCCAAAACAGUGGUAACCCCUGACUCACUUGAAAGUUAAUGGGGGUGCUUCCCUGAAGGUCCACCAUGCUCUGUGCACUAUGAAUCCCUUCAAUCUGCCCUGGUUUCAUACAGUUCUGCCUGCAAAACAUCGAAAAGGAGAGGUAGGGAGGAAACCCUGCACCUUCUAAGAGGCCUGCCACUCAGGAACAUUCAAGUGGGCCCUUUUCCUCUCCAUUGCAGUCUUGUCUGAAGUAACCCAAGGGAGGGGUUUCUACACCCCCCUGGCUAUUCUAAGAUUGUUCUUAACUUUGCAUUAUAGCAAGUGGGAAGAGCUAGGAAAUGAUAUGAAGCAGAACGCCUGGUUCUGGACAGCUUAGCUGCUGCAGUGUUUCUAAGGAGACCCAUAAAAAGACAUCAGCUGUAACUUGUGGUUAACUCAUUAACUUAGAAGCCAGAAAAGGAUGGGAUGAGAUAAUGUUUAUCCCACUUUGGUGGAAAGCUUCGCCUUUCUCCCUACUGCUUCUGCUCUGAGAUCCUGAGGUGUGUAGGCCAGUCUGGACCAGACUGAAUCACUGCUGGUUGGGAGACCAGGUGCUGCAGUCCUCUCCCCUCCAACAGAGCUGGGCAUUGGGGCAGGUACUUCUAUGCAGCCAAAGGCACAGUCUUUUAGCAUCUGAACUCCUGCCACGUCAGAUCUCCUCCUACUGGAUACGGGCGUCUUCCCUUUCUUCCCCAUCUAACCUUUAGCUAAGCCCUCACUGAGUUUCAGCAGUGACUGAAAUGACCCAGAAGGCAGACUGUCCUAGUGCAAAGACUCAACUGGGACUCAAGCUCUGCCACCAGUCUACUUUGUGACCUCAGUGCCCCUGAAGAUCCACCAGUGAAGAAUGCUAGGCAAGAUCAAGAUAUUACUCCUCCAGGCUGCAACAGUCACAAAGCUUGGCAAAAUCCCUCCUUUCAGUUCUGUAGGAUGAGACAUUAGAAAAGACACCAGUGUCAUUCUGAAGAUAAACUAAAUCCCUGUGCAACUUCCCCCAAGUUCAAAGUUUACAUCAAUUGUACUAUUUCAUGCACCAUUUUAAUACACCCUUUCAAUGUUGGUGCUAAAACUCCCCAAUAGAUACUUUGUGGACAGGCCCAUGUCUCUGUUAUAGCCAAUAAGAUCAGCUGGCUCUGUUUUAUAUUUGGCCUGUGAAUAGUUUGUGGUCUGCACAGUGGCUGAGUGCUCUGCAGUGUUAUAUUAUUGCAGAACCAGGUCCGUGGACUAAUUUCAGUUGAACUGUUUGAAAGGCUAGUUCAUCAGGAGCUGGUAGGCUCCGGAUUGUUUUUGCAUUUCAGGAGCAGGCGAGUUGAGUUACAAGAGCGCUUUGUUUUUCCUUUAAAGGUCCCGGUACUUCCUAACAGUCUUUGCUAUCAAUCAAAAUGACUCUGAUUAUUAUUUCUGCUACAGUAGUGACCAGGGCCCCAAUGAGGCUGAGAGCCACUGUGCCAGGCACUGUACACACACAAAAGAAAACACAGUCAGUGCUUGAAGGAUUCGACAAUCUAGACCCUUGACUCUUCAAUCUAGAUCCACUGUCGUGGAUUGUGCACCCAGAGUCCCAGGAGGCCCCGGUUUUUCCUUCAUUCAUGCUGGGCUGGGCUGGACUGGCAGUGACCCCAGCAAUGUGAGCAAGGACUGGCUGCAGGCAGGGAGGCCAUCACACAGUGUCCGGCUAACCUUUCCUCAUCAAAAACACCACUUUUGCAAUAGAAAAGUUUCACGGAAACAUCUGUUUUAACUAAAAUGUCUCAGGGCAAGGGUGCAAUUUCUGGUGAGAGAGAGCAACGAAGAAAAGUCAACAGCCCCAUAAACCUGGGAAGUGGUUCAAAUACCUGUCUUUGGCUGAUUCAGAGUAUGGACUUCAACCUAAGUUGUCCACCUGGCAGGUUGUGAGCACCAUCUUCCUUUCACGUUUUGUUCUUUCCCAAAAAUGUUUAAAAGAUCUUGGUUUUCUUCUGUACUGAAACAAAAAAUGAACCAUAG